AGUGGGGAAUAUUGCGCAAUGGACGAAAGUCUGACGCAGCAACGCCGCGUGAGGGAUGACGGCCUUCGGGUUGUAAACCUCUUUCAGCAGGGACGAAGCGAGAGUGACGGUACCUGCAGAAGAAGGACCGGCCAACUACGUGCCAGCAGCCGCGGUAAUACGUAGGGUCCGAGCGUUGUCCGGAAUUAUUGGGCGUAAAGGGCUCGUAGGCGGUUCGUCACGUCGGGAGUGAAAACUCGGAGCUCAACUCCGAGCCUGCUUCCGAUACGGGCAGACUAGAGGUAGGCAGGGGAGAGCGGAACUCCUGGUGUAGCGGUGGAAUGCGCAGAUAUCAGGAAGAACACCGGUGGCGAAGGCGGCUCUCUGGGCCUUACCUGACGCUGAGGAGCGAAAGCGUGGGUAGCGAACAGG
rnacentral:rRNA from 1 species